rfam:Monodelphis domestica chromosome 1, whole genome shotgun sequence.
CUUUAGUGCAGUAGGCAGCACAUCAGUCUUGUAAGCUGAUGGUCCUGAGUUUGAUCCUCAAAAG